rnacentral:rRNA from 1 species
AUUGAACGCUGGCGGCAGGCCUAACACAUGCAAGUCGUGCGAGCGGCGGACGGGUGAGUAAUGUAUGGGGAUCUGCCUGAUGGAGGGGGAUAACUACUGGAAACGGUAGCUAAUACCGCAUACCAUCCGAUGCACCCAUAUGGGAUUAGCUAGUAGGUGAGGUAAAGGCUUACCUAGGCGACGAUCCCUAGCUGGUCUGAGAGGAUGAUCAGCCACACUGGUACUGAGACACGGCCCAGACUCCUACGGGAGGCAGCAGUGGGGAAUAGUGCACAAGGGGCGCAAGCCUGAUGCAGCCAUGCCGCGUGUAUGAAGAAGGCCUUCGGGUUGGAAAGUACUUUCAGUCGGGAGGCGUGACCGACAGAAGAAGCACCGGCUAACUCCGUGCCAGGAGCCGCGGUAAUUC